rnacentral:rRNA from 1 species
AACGAACGCUGGCGGCAGGCCUAACACAUGCAAGUCGAACGCUGUAGCAAUACAGAGUGGCAGACGGGUGAGUAACACGUGGGAAUCUUCCUAUCGGUACGGAAUAGCUCAGGGAAACUUGGGGUAAUACCGCAUACGCCCUUCGGGGGAAAGAUUUAUCGCCGAUAGAUGAGCCCGCGUCUGAUUAGCUAGUUGGUGAGGUAAUGGCUCACCAAGGCGACGAUCAGUAGCUGGUCUGAGAGGAUGACCAGCCACACUGGGACUGAGACACGGCCCAGACUCCUACGGGAGGCAGCAGUGGGGAAUAUUGGACAAUGGGGGCAACCCUGAUCCAGCUAUGCCGCGUGAGUGACGAAGGUCUUCGGAUUGUAAAGCUCUUUUGGCGGGGACGAUAAUGACGGUACCCGCGGAAUAAGCCCCGGCUAACUUCGUGUCAGCCGCCGCGGUAA